UUUUUUUGACCUUGCAUUCUAUUUGAAUAAUCACUACAAAUAUCAUUAAAGUUUUAUUUUCAGACAACCAAAAUUUGUUGUCACCAAUACUUUACGUCAUACAACUUUCAAAAACCCUGUUAAGCAAAAAAAAAACCUAAUUAAUUUCCAUGUAUCAUCGUCCCAUUGGCGUAACUUAAGACUCACCUAAUUAAAAUAAACUCACCCACAUUCUAAGAUCGUUUUCCGCCGUUACUUUCUC
rnacentral:lncRNA from 1 species